rnacentral:rRNA from 1 species
UACGAGGGGGGGCGAGCGUUGUUCGGAAUUAUUGGGCGUAAAGGGUGCGUAGGCGGUUUGGUAAGUCUGAUGUGAAAUCUAUGGGCUCAACUCAUAGUCUGCAUCGGAAACUGCCGGGCUUGAGUGUGGGAGAGGUGAGUGGAAUUCCUGGUGUAGCGGUGAAAUGCGUAGAUAUCAGGAGGAACACCUGUGGCGAAAGCGGCUCACUGGACCAUAACUGACGCUGAUGCACGAAAAGCUAGGGGGAGCAAACAGGGAUUAGAAAACCCUGGGUAG